UACGAAGGGUGCAAGCGUUACUCGGAAUUACUGGGCGUAAAGCGUGCGUAGGUGGUGAGUUAAGUCUGUCGUGAAAGCCCCGGGCUCAACCUGGGAAUGGCGAUGGAUACUGGCUCGCUAGAGUGCGGUAGAGGAGAGUGGAAUUCCUGGUGUAGCGGUGAAAUGCGCAGAUAUCAGGAGGAACACCUAUUGCGAAGGCAGCUCGCUGGGACGUAACUGACGCUGAGACGCGAAAGCGUGGGGAGCAAACAGG
rnacentral:rRNA from 1 species